rnacentral:rRNA from 1 species
UGGGGAAUAUUGGACAAUGGGCGCAAGCCUGAUCCAGCAAUGCCGCGUGUGUGAAGAAGGCCUUCGGGUUGUAAAGCACUUUUAUCAGGAGCGAAAUACUAUCGGUUAAUAACCGGUGGGGCUGACGGUACCUGAGGAAUAAGCACCGGCUAACUUCGUGCCAGCAGCCGCGGUAAUACGAAGGGUGCAAGCGUUAAUCGGAAUUACUGGGCGUAAAGGGUGCGUAGGCGGUUAGUUAAGUCUGUUGUGAAAUCCCCGGGCUCAACCUGGGAAUGGCAAUGGAUACUGGCUAGCUAGAGUGUGUCAGAGGAUGGUGGAAUUCCCGGUGUAGCGGUGAAAUGCGUAGAGAUCGGGAGGAACACCAGUGGCGAAGGCGACCACCUGGACUAAUACUGACACUGAGGUGCGAAAGCGUGGGGAGCAAACA